rnacentral:lncRNA from 1 species
GAGGCCCUCUUGGACAACACUUCCUCUCCUGCCCAUGGUGGGAGGUUGGGAAGGACAUUCCCCCAUUUCCAUUUGCUCUGCCAUUCAAAACCUUGUGAGGGCCCUCAGGGAAGAAUCCCUUUGCAGAUGAGGAAACUGAGGCCCCACGUGGUGAAGACAAUUUUUACCCGAAUCCACCCACAACAAGAGACCAUUUGGAUAAUGUACAUUAUGGGAAGAGAACAGAGUCUCAGUGAAGAUCAUGUUUCCCCAGCAACACAGGUGCCAGGAGUAGCUGGCUCUGGUCCCAGCCCAGACUCAGAAAUCCUGAGCCACCAGACCAUUUCUAGAUUAACAAAGGCCUGCAUUAAUUUGAUUUCAGUGACCCACUGGAAACCAGUGUCAGCAUAACAACAGUUACGAGAGCUAAACCUACAAAAUAGAACACAGGAGCUAUGUGGAGAGUUGAUGGAGGGACAUUCCAGGCAGAGAGAACAGCAAACACAAAGGCCUUGAAGGGCUCAACACCACAUGGAAGCUGCCAAGGCUUGGGGCUCGCACCAUCUGAAGACAUGGUCUGAACUCUACGUUGGCCCUUUCAGCCAUGGCUGGAGCAGCUGGAACGCAGGGCAUCAAGUCUCUUGGCUGCACACAGCUCAGGGAAGCUGGACCUGGCCCAUGAAACCACUUUUUCUUCCUAUGCCUCCAGACCUGUGAUGGGAGGAGCUGCCAUGAAGACCUCUGACAUGCCCUAGAAACAUUUUCCCCAUUGUCUUAGGGAUUAACAUUCUGUGCCUUGUUGCUUAAGUAAAUUUCUGCCUCAUUGUCAGGCUGCAAAUUUUCUA